rnacentral:rRNA from 1 species
AGCGAACGCUGGCGGCAGGCUUAACACAUGCAAGUCGAGCGGCCGUAGCAAUACGGCAGCGGCAGACGGGAGAGUAACACGUGGGAACGUACCCUUCAGUACGGAACAACCAAGGGAAACUUUGGCUAAUACCGUAUACGUCCGUAAGGAGAAAGAUUUAUCGCUGAAGGAUCGGCCCGCGUCUGAUUAGCUAGUUGGUGAGGUAACGGCUCACCAAGGCGACGAUCAGUAGCUGGUCUGAGAGGAUGAUCAGCCUCACUGGGACUGAGACACGGCCCAGACUCCUACGGGAGGCAGCAGUGGGGAGUACUGGACAAUGGGCGCAAGCCUGAUCCAGCCAUGCCGCGUGGAUGAUGAAGGCCCUAGGGUUGUAAAGUCCUUUUAACGGGGAAGAUAAUGACGGUACCCGUAGAAUAAGCCCCGGCUAACUUCGUGCCAGCAGCCGCCGUAA